rnacentral:piRNA from 1 species
UUACAUCUGAUUUUGAAUGAU